rnacentral:rRNA from 1 species
AGGGCACCACCAGGAGUGGAGCUUGCGGCUUAAUUUGACUCAACGCGGGGAAACUCACUUGGUCAGGACACUGUAAGGAUUGACAGAUUGAAAGCUCUUUCUUGAUUCGGUGGAUGGUGGUGCAUGGCCGUUCUUAGUUGGUGGAGUGAUUUGUCUGGUUAAUUCCGAUAACGAACGAGACUCUAUCUUGCUAACUAGUCGCAGAUUUAUUCUGACUGUUGAGCUUCUUAGAAGGACAGGUGGAUUUAACCACACGAGAUUGAGCAAUAACAGGUCUGUGAUGCCCUUAGAUGUCCCAGGCUGCACGCGUGCUACACUGAAGUCGUCAACAUGUGAACCUAUCUCGGGGGAGUGUGGGGAACCCUCUGAAACGGCUUCGUGCUAGGGAUUGGGGUCUGUAAAUCCCCAUGAACGAGGAGUUCCUAGUAAGUGCGAGUCAACAUCUCGCGCUGAUUACGUCCCUGCCCUUUGUACACACCGCCCGUCGCUACUACCGAUUGGAUGCGUUAGUGAGGUUUU